CAGGCUGCAGGUGGGAUCAAAUGCAGCCAUUUACCUUGUGGCCCCAGGCCAGCGUCCUCCAGCCCUGGUUCUCUUGACCAUAAGCUCCUCUCUGGGCUUAUGGGAGCUGGCCUUAACCUCCUGGGGGCGCCAUUCAGCUGGCCACACACCAUGGACUAGACUGUCUGCUUGUCUUUGUAGGAGCCUGCUGGUCAGCCCCCCCCCCCACAUCUCUUGGAACCUAAUCUAUUGAACAGAGCUCCCUGCUCCCACCUGUCUGCCCUUUGUGGUUUCGAAGAGCCGUGAAGGGGGCUGUGUGGGGAAAAGAAUUUCAAAGCUUGCAAAACUCCAAACUUUUUUUUAAAAUCUGGGGUGUCCCAUUCUCUGUCCCUUCCCUGUAUUAGGGGUCAUAAGUCCCCAUGGUGGGGUCACCUGACUCCCACACAGUUUCCCCAGAUGGUAGGGAAGAGGAAAAAGGAGAAAGACUCCCCAUGUGCCCUGGGGACAAAGUCGGGGCAGAGGGUGGAGGGUGUCAGGGUCUGUAACUUACUCCAGGUGUUGCAGAGAAGAGAAGGCUGGAAGGAUCUUUGCCAGUGUGGGGAAAGCCUGGGGGCCCAAGAUGGGGCCCAACCUAGGAAGCAAUCAACAGUAGAGGUCAGACAGGUCAGACACCUAAACGGCCAGUGGAGUGCAAAGAUGCAGAACAGUCUGAGGCUCCCUCCCUGACUCCCUAGUGUCUUAUCCCUGCCUGCUGGGCUCUCAAUGGCCCACUGUGCUGCUCUGCCACUGCUCUGCUCAGGACCACCCAGAGGCCUGCUGGGACGCUCCCACUUCACUUUCUGCUUUCAGCAGCAAGCCUGUCCUCACUGCUGCUCAUGUCUAUACAUGCUCACCCUUGCCUGGUGAAGAAGUCCCCACACCAGCCAAGGUCUGUUCCCAGGGUCACACCAGAUUGCAUGAGCUUCUGUUUUUAAAUAUAUUUUCUCUCCCUCCCCUCCUUCCCCCUCUCCCUCCCUUUCCCUCCCCCUCUCCUCUGUGUGUGUGUGUGUGUGUGUGUUUAUGUGCACAGAUACAGAGGCCACUGAACCUGCAACUCACUAAUUCAGUACACUGGGAAAACCUCAUUUCUCCCCCAAUGCUAGGAUACUACUUGCAUAGAGUUAGUAUUGAGAUAAAGAACUUGGUUCAUGGUCUGGACCGUGAUGUCCAGGAGGCUUACUCCAGGUGCUGCAGGGAAGAAGGCUGGAAGGAUCUUGUCAGUGUGGGGAAAGCCUGGGGGGGCCCAAGAUGGGACCCAACCCCAUUCUGGAUCACCCAUGAGCUUUCCCAUUCAGUCACUGCUUAUGAGAGAUAAGAAAUGCUGCAGACAGAUUCACUGUGGGGGAGUUCAGGAAGGGUCUCAGAACACCGAGAGACAAGGUCAGUGGGGUCAAAGUGCCUGCACCCAACCUGGGACCUGAAUUUUGUCCCUGAGACCGGCAUGGUAGAAAGAGCCAAAUUGUUCUCUAACCUCCACAACAGGGCACACAUGCGCACACACAUAUCCAAAUAAACAAGAAAAAAAAAAAAAAAAACAGAGGAAAGUGAGGGCCAGCGUGGACCUGCUGCAUAGGGAAGAGCAUUCAGGGCAGAGGCACUGCCCCACAGUGGCCCAGAGACCGGGGGCUGGGUCUUGUUUCAGGAGAAAGCGGGAAGAGGGAGCAUAGAGAAGCCAGCUCUCGAGCCUAGGCCUCCAACCUAAGAUGUGUAAGAUGACUGAAGUGAUUCUCCUGCCUCUACCCUAGAUGCUGGGACCACAGAUGUGUGUCCCCAUGCCGUGUAGAUAGCGCUGGAGAUCGAACCAGGGCUUGUGCCUACUAGGAAGGACUCUGCCGACUGAGCCACAUGUAUCCGCCUCCGCCUCCGCUCAUGUGAGAGUUUUUAAGUGGACUGAUCAGACAGUCAAAGAGGCCUGCAGGGUGGGGAACAUGGGGGUGGCUGCAAGAGACACCCUAAAAUAGCCCCCCUUGUUUCCUUCCUUUCUUCCUCAGAACUGUCUCAGGACUCCCAGCAUGUAGGUGGCUGUUGGCCUGGCUCUAGCCUGUUCCACCCCGCAGCCUCUGGUACCCAGAGUGCAGUUCCGAUCACCAGGGAGGGGCUUUUUUAUGCUGAAAAUAAUUCAAAGCCAGAAAACACCCUGCGGCUGUCUUCAGACAUUUCCUCUUUUUAGCAAUAUUUUUACCUUUGUACAUAUUUGGCACCUUAUGUCCUGUUGAAAACAAGAGAAACUUGGUUAUCUGUGGGGGGUGCAGGGAAGCUGGCAGCGAGUGUGUGGCCAGCUGGGACCGCAGGCAAAUCACUAACAUCACCAAGCCUCAGUUUCCAAAUCUGUCCAAUGACUGUCUUCCAGGGCUACUCUUCUCAUGAAGGGGACUUUAUGUAAAAUGACCUGAGGAUCUUGUGGGUAGCUCUCUUUGUUUUGAGACAAGGUCUUCCUGGCUGGAGUGAUCUCAUCUCUAAGAGGACCAAACACUGACAAGAGUUUGCUAGUCAGCCAGGCAAGCUAACCUGGUGUUUAUAACGCUGAAGAAACUACUUCAUCUCUGGUCUCACUAUGCCCAUUUGUAAGUGAGAGUUGACAUCAAUGUCCUUCUCCCCAACUGUCUAGGAUAUGAAGUGAAGUGUUUUACAGGUGGAAUGCUGUGUUAGAGCCGGGUGGUGGAAUAGGCACGCAAUCCUGGGUAGGUACUUGGCAGGGCUGAGGCAAGGAGAGCAAAAGUUCAAGGCUAGACUAAAUAUUAAAACCCCAUUCAAAAUAACACACACACACACACACACACACACACGAAUGGGAUGGGAAUGUAGCUGAAUUGCAGAGUGUCUGCUUAACAUGCACAAAGCCCUGGGUUCUAUCCCUUGCACCACAUAAGUUUGGCGUGGCAGAGUGUGCCUAUAACCCUAGCAUUUGGGAGGUAGAGGCAGGAAGAUGAGAAGUUCAAAGUUAUAUAGCUUGGCUUGGUUUAUAUAGCAAGUUUGAAGCCAGCAUGGAGUAUAAACAAACAAGCAAAUAAAUGGGUAGGGAUGUACCUCAGUGGUAGAGUGCCUGACAGGUAUGCACAAGGCCCUGGACUCAACCCUCAGCACUGGGGGAAAAGUUGUUCAGGCAGCCAGACUUAAAUAACUCUUGGGGCUCUUCAGGGCCCGUGUACUGGACAGGGCUCCCCUGUCAUAGCCCAGGCACCCUCUGCUCUCUAGAACCUACUGCUUCCUAUCAUCUCUAUUCCUGCUACCCUGGCUACACAGGGUGGGGGACCAAUUGUCCCAGUUUGCUGAGAUGGAGUGGAUCCUAAGCAUGCAAGACUCUCAGUGCCCAACCAGACCGGUCCUAGUCAAGCUGGCACCCAAUUCGCUGAGCCACCCACUCAACUUUCUCAAGAAGGAUCCUUCUAACAGAGGCAAGUAUGCAUGUGCAUAUGUGUCUGAGUGUGUACAUGUGAAAUUAUGUGCUAUAUGUUGUGCAUAAGUAUAAAUCACGUGUGUAUGCAUAUGCAUGUGUGUUAUAUGUAUGAGUGUGAAUGUGUACAGUGUGUGUGUACAUGCACAUGUGUCUGCAUUGCCCUGUAAAUGGCCAAUUCUCUGCUGCUCUGAGUGACCCCUGCACUUACCCAAACAAGCCGCACUCAGCAGAGGAAGGCUACUUUCCCAGUGGUUAAGUGAGUGGGCAGGAGUCAUCCAAUCUCUCCCCUUCUGCUCACCUUGUCACUGCCCCAAGAUCAGUGAAGAUGGCAGAAACAACCUUGGGGCAAUGAGGUGGUUUCUCCCUUCACUUACGCAAACUCUAGCUUCUUAAGGUCCCGGAUGGCAGGAAGAUCCUUGGCUGCAUCUUCUGAGGGGUUUCUCAGCCUAUACAGAAAGGGCUUUGGGAUCUCUAUGUUCUCACCAAAGCCUUCCUCUGCUCCAAUGUGCUCUACUUUGGAGAAACACCAGAGACUCACAUCACAAUCACAGAAUCCCCGGGAAAGCCACCAUGAGGAGGUGUGGCUGUCAGCCAUUUCUUCAGGUCAGGAAGGACUAAAGACUGAGCCUAGAUCAACUUCUCCCGACUUACUGAAGAGGUCCUUGCUCAGGCCCUCGAGCUGGGUAUCCUGGAACACGUACUGAUCCAGUUCCGCUGCCAGAUAAAGAAGCACACGGUCAGUCAAAAAGGUUCCCACGGAAGGCGGCGGUGGUGCGUGCCUCAGAGAAGAUCUUAGUUCGAGGCCAGCCUGGUCUACAAAGUUCCAGGACAGCCAGGGUGAUGUAGAGAGAUCCUGUCUUAAAACCAAAAACCAAAACCAACCAAACAAAGGAUCUCCUGAAAUCUUGCUGUGUGUCUAGCCGCAGGCUAAGGACCUUCUGGGCUGGUGCACAGUAGGGUCUUUAUAAAGGUUACUGAGUAUGUUUUGAAUGAAUGAGCAAACAGACAUAGCUUUUCAUGUGUUUUCUGUCUUAUUAGAUAAGGAAAGCAUGUGCCCAUGAAAAUGUCUGCCACUGGGCUGAGUUCAAAUUCUGCCUCUAUUCUCCACUAGCUCCCUCUGCUGGACCUCCUUGGGCUGGCUGCUUAAUGUUUCUGGUUCCUGUUUCCUCAUCUCAGUGAAGAGAACAAAUAGUGGGUGUUAGCCAGAGGUGGGCAGCAACGUUAGAAGUAUGUUGUAGGACAACUGGCAGAGUCUGUCCUAUCUUCCCACUACCUGACUCCUGGGGCUUAAAUUCAGCUCAUCAGGCUUGGUGGCAAACGCUGUUACCCCAUGAAGCUACUUUGAUGGACAUGCCUUGUCAAACUGCUCAAUUUCAGACACUUCCUUUUUGUAUUUAAGUCAGUGCUUGGAAGUGUGGAGCCUUGGCAUGGGAUUUCAGAUCUGCCAUCUGACUCAGCCUUGAGGCCACUUCAUCUCUCUCCACCUUAAUUUCCUCCUCUGUGAAUAGAAGAUUCUCACGUCACAGACUUCAUCGGCUGCUCCAAGGCGUCAGUGUGGUCUUACGGGUGUAAAAACCAACACGUUGCCAGUGUCGACUGAUGCAUGGCGGCUCAUUGGCUUAGGUGCUGGGGAAGGGUGUGUGGUGUGGGCUUUGUGUAAAAGAGGAGCAGAAAAAAAUGGAAAUGGAAGUGUAGAGCUGGAUGUGGUGCGUGCUGUGGUUCCACAGCCGAGGCUGGAGCAUUGCCAUGAGUUUGAGACUGGACUGGAAUACAUAGUGAGUCCCAGAACAGCCUGGGCUACAAAAGA